GAUGAAGAACGUAGUGAAAUGCGAUAAGUAAUGCGAAUUGCAGAAUUUCCGUGAGUCAUCGAAUCUUUGAACGCACAUUGCGCCCCUUGGUAUUCCGAGGGGCAUGCCUGUUCGAGCGUCAUUAUAACCCCUCAAGCUCAGCUUGGUGUUGGGGCCUGCUGCACUGGCAGCCCUUAAAAUCAGUGGCGGCGCCAUCUGGCUCUAAGCGUAGUAAUUCUUCUCGCUAUGGAGUCCUGGUGGAUGCUUGCCAUCAACCCCCAAUUUUUCUAUGGUUGACCUCGGAUCAGGUAGGGAUACCCGCUGAACUUAAGCAUAUCAAUAAGCGGAGGA
rnacentral:misc_RNA from 1 species